rnacentral:lncRNA from 1 species
GGAUCAUGCAGUCCAACCAUUCGCCCUUCACCAAUGGUUCUCACUAAACCACGUCCCUCAACACAACAUCCAAACGCUCUUUGAACACCACCAGGGUCGGUGACUCCACCGACCGAGGAUGAGGGUCUGGAGCCAACUUCUGGAAGACCUUUUCCAUUCAGAGUUACAUCCCAACGUGGAAACAUUCUCCGGAGUUUUCUUUGUGCACUGGCAGUGUCCUGCUCAGGUACCAGCACGUUCUGCCUGGUGUGCUCUGCCGCCGACUGCUUCCCUGUGCUUGGAAUGGCACCUCUCCAUGUAAGCACCUGCGGCCUCCCAACCCUUUCCCUGCCUGCAUCACAGCCAUUCCCAGUCGCUUUGUUCUUAGUACUGGAAAAUUACAAUUGUGAGGUUUUAGUAGCAAACGGCCAAGGGUAUGACCUUAAAUAGAGCAUUCUGUGAAAUGUGUUGCAAUGUUACUGGAAAUGCUAAAGAGAAAAAUGUUACCAUGUGAGUCAAUGAAACGCGGUCUGUGGGGGCUCAGUCCUGCACACUGUGGCCCAGCAUGGCUUUUCAGUCCUGCUGUGAGCUCUUCAGCUGGUUCCUGGUUCUGAAGCCAUGUGGCAGUGUGCAGCGGCGUGCAGCGGUGUAGCAGAGGCAUGCAGCAGUGUGCAGCAUCAUGUUGUGGCAUGCAGCAGCACGCAGCGGUGUAUAGCAGCACGCAGUGCUGUGCAGCAACUUGUUGGCUGCCCGUGGCUGCACAGAAGUCACUGGGAAACAGCUCCGUGUGGGCUGUGAGAAUUCACUGCAUGGGAUCGGGCUGCACAGGAGUUACUUUUACAGCCUCUCUGUCCCCCCUGUGUGCUCCUGCAGCCAAAGAAACAAAUUUAUUCGCGCUUGCCAAUAAAUCACAGUGGAAGCUUACAGUGCUAUAUAUAUGAAGCCGUACAUAUAUCUCAUCACAGCUGUGGAAGUGUUGCCCCAGGAAGCAUUACCUGACUCGGGAUCAGGUUAUCCAUGGGCUCUGUGGGUCUCCAUUCCCCAGCAGCAUGCAAAGCUCUGCCAGUGUGUGGUGCUUUGCAUCCACAGUGCAGCACAGCAGCCCUGAAACCUUCAGGCUCUGUUCCUCAUGUGAGAAAUCUGCACUUCUGCCAACACUACAUCCUGUCUGGAAACAGGGUUGUAUUUCACAGAAGGAAUCUGAAAAAUGCAGAUCCAUGUCUUUUUGAGCACGUGGUGCUGGUAAACACCCGAGUUUUGUAAUCACAGAUGAGAAAUAACAAGGUUGUGAGUGGAAAAAGUCACUGGGAAGCAGAUGUUGGGUUUUGGCACUGUGCUACAGAAGUGCACUGUGAAUGCAUCCCGACCCCCCAGCUCACAGCCACCGCAUGCAGCAACCCUCCCUGCUGCUGGAGGCAGGGCACAGGGCUGGGGAACACCUUCUGCAAUUCCAUGGGUGGGCAACAGGUAACAACAUAAGCGAGCAACCUAAAACUACAGAGGGGGUUGUUGGCAAAACACUUGAGCUCAGGUCCUGUGAGUCCCAAGCCCAACGCGAUAAUGCUGGAUAGUUUUAUGUGAGAUUGAGCUGUUUGUGUGGGGAAGACUUUCAUCAUACGCAAAGCUCUCAAAAAAGCUCCAGGUCCUUGAACCACGGGCAAGCAAUGACGUACAGUGUGACAGGAGAGCCAGCACUGAUCUCUGCUGCUCUUUCAAAUCUGCUGAGCAAUGGGAGCACAUCUCCUGCUUCCUCCCCCGAGGAGAUUGUGUUUCUCACCACUGCUGCUCAUUUAGUUUGGCAGAAGCACUGAGGAACAUGCUGGCUGCUUCCACCUGUGGGCAGGCUGUUCAUGCUCCAUCGCCAGCCAGAAUCCCAGCCUUCCUGCUAUAGUUAACCUGCUAUAUUGGUCUCUGAUGGGCAGUGUUAUUUCAACAAAUUACAGCUCUGUUUAAGCAGACCUUCCUGGCAGACCUUCCCGAGCAGCGUGGUGCAGCAUGCUCCUAUCACGGACCAUUUACAACUUUUGCAUUACCUGUGGUGUUACAGGGAUCCCAUCCACCCGCAUCUGCAUGCGUGCCACAAUGUGCCACACAACGCAGGAGGAAAAUGCUGCUCCUGCAGAGGUGUGUCCAACAUCACUUAACACCAGCUUCCACAGAAGACGUUCUGGAGGUGUCUGAGGUAACGUUGGCAGCUGCAGGGCCACUGGAGAGGGUGCAAAUGGACUUCAGUUUGCACACAAUAAAGAAGAGUCAAAUCUGGAAAACAGUGCUCGUCCAGGAUGGCAGCCGGGCACCAGCAGUGCUGCACACGGGGCUGCAGAGCUCCUGAGAACCCAGUGGGAGUCCCACUGAGCACACACAAACCUGUCAGCAGAGCUGAACACGUCCUGCCAAAGUCCCAACCUCCUAACACAGAAUCAUAUGUAAGCAUGUGGCUACGUUUCCCAUUUUCAUCUGACAUGGGAUUUCAUUCACACUCUGCAGCUCUGUGUGGCAUGGGAAUGGAAGAUAAUGCACAUGCUUUUAUGCUUUUAAAAUCAAAAUUACAGUGAGCAGAAAAGGGCUGCUGUGCCGUUCAGGUGGAGGAAUGGACUCGUGCAGUGGGGGAACCUCCCUCCCAGCAGCGAUCCCAGUAGCACAAGCAGCCACGGAUUUAAAGUUUUGAAGUACAUUUCUGUUUCCCUAAAGAGGACGCACCUAUUGGAGCCUGAGCUGUGGUGUGUGAGCAGAGCAGGGGCAGUACAGCAGGAGGUGCCUGUCCUCAGGCAUACAGCGUUGUCUGCCUCCAGGCUGCAGGUGAGCUUGCAGACAGAGGUAUAAUCAUCAGGCUCGCAGCCUCUCAUCCUCCUGCAGAAGUCCAUUUUUAAUUCUCUGUGCUGCCCUGUGGCUGCCAGACUCAUGCCUGGAGAAGAAAACAAGGACGUCCCCUGAGAGGUGUGCUGCUGCUCCUGCUUCACAGACCUGAGCAAAUAAUGGUGGUUGAAGACACAGCAGCAUGAAAUACGCUUUGCCUCUGGUUCCAGAAACUGCUCCGGACUGCACGCAGCCUCCAGAAGCUUUGGUGGAGUUUUGCAUGGCAAACGCACAGAGCAGCAGGCAGAGCUGCAGCCACUGCUUCCCGUCUCGGCAUUUCAGUGACGCUGCUCACUGCCACUCUGUGCUCUGGGAAAGCAGUGGGAGCAGCGCAGAGGUCGGCAGCACCUGCAUCCCCACACAGUGCUUGGGUCUGGGGCACUUCAUGUCCUGUGUGUGUAUGGAGACUUCAUUAGCUUUGGUCUUCAGCACAACAUGCCAACAGUGAUUAAAACCUGCUGAGGGAUGAACAUGCUAUUGCUGCCAGUGGACCUCCCCAGGCCAACCUUUCCUCCACACCAUGGAGUGCUGCCACAUCUCUGUGGGGCCACCCCACGCUGGGGGAAGUGCUGGCAGAGCGGCUGGCACCUCUCGGGAUGCCACCAGAGCCCAGAGCUUCACCUUCUGCCCCUCGCUGAUAACAGCUCCCUCCUGGGUAUUUAGGCAGGAGGACAUUUGCUGCCCUCAGCAUUCUUGAGCUGACUGCGGUGGAGAAAAGCAGUGCUCUGCUGCUGUGCCCCAGCAUUGCAGUGGCUCGCUGCAUGUCUGGGCAGCACCUACCAGCUGCACAGAGCUCCUCACACUGAGAGGCAGCUCCUGUCUGAGCAGCCCAUGGGAAACAUGUCACCAGCAGCUGGAAAUGGAGGUAUCCAAACAGGCAGCAAAGGCACUGGGAGCUUUGUUUUGUGAAGGGCUUUAGGCAUUGCAACACUGCAACAGCAAUGAACUGAUGUGCCGUUCCCAAACCUGCAGGAGCCUGCGUGUGCUGGAGUGGGGGUGGGCAAAGCGCAGGCCGUUCUGAAAUGCAGAGAGAAUGCAUUUAAAACUGUGCUCAUUCUUCCUCUUAAAGAGGCAGCAGCAGUCCGGGUAAACGUCUG